GACGAACGCUGGCGGCGUGCUUAACACAUGCAAGUCGAACGGAAAGGCCCUGCUUUUGUGGGGUGCUCGAGUGGCGAACGGGUGAGUAACACGUGAGUAACCUGCCCUUGACUUUGGGAUAACUUCAGGAAACUGGGGCUAAUACCGUAUAGGAGCUCCUGCUGCAUGUUGUGGGUUGGAAAGUUUCGGCGGUUGGGGAUGGACUCGCGGCUUAUCAGCUUGUUGGUGGGGUAGUGGCUUACCAAGGCUUUGACGGGUAGCCGGCCUGAGAGGGUGACCGGCCACAUUGGGACUGAGAUACGGCCCAGACUCCUACGGGAGGCAGCAGUGGGGAAUAUUGCACAAUGGGCGGAAGCCUGAUGCAGAAACGCCGCGUGCGGGAUGACGGCCUUCGGGUUGUAAACAGCUUUCGCCUGUGACGAAGCGUGAGUGACGGUAAUGGGUAAAGAAGCACCGGCUAACUACGUG
rnacentral:rRNA from 1 species